CCUACGGGAGGCAGCAGUAGGGAAUAUUGCUCAAUGGGCGAAACCCUGAAGCAGCAACGCCGCGUGGUGGAUGAAGGUUUUCGGAUUGUAAGCUCUUUUUGUUAGAGAAGCAAAUGACGGUACCUAACGAAUAAGCACCGGCUAACUCCGUGCCAGCAGCCGCGGUACUACGGGAGGUGCAAGCGUUAACCGGAAUCCCUGGGCGUAAAGGGGGCGGAGGCGGGAUAGCAAGUCAGGUGGUAAAUCCUUUGGCUGAACGUUAGAACUGCAGUGGAAACUGGUGAUCUAGAGUGAGGGAGAGGCAGGUGGAAUUCUUGGUGUAGGGGUGAAAGGCGUAGAGAUCGGGAGGAAUACUGAUUGCGAAGGCAACGUGCUGGGACGUAACUGACGCUGAGGCACGAAAGCGUGGGGAGCGAACAGGAUUAGAUACCCCAGUAGUC
rnacentral:rRNA from 1 species